rnacentral:lncRNA from 1 species
AGCUGGGGCAGGGAACGUGAUGAACAGUGGGCUGGAAUAAGUUAACUGGAGGAGGGGAGGCGUCUCAGGAAGGGAGAAUAGCAUGAACAGCAGCAUAGACGUGAGAAUAACCAUCUGGAGUGAUGAACCUAUGCUGAGUAGAAAGUUCCAGAAGGCUGCAUAAGGGAGGUGUGUGAACAGCAGAAGCAGGACAAACCUGAGAUGGAUCUGGCACAGUCUUCCGGACAGAGGGUGUGUUCAAAUACUGCAGCUGGAAUGAAGACGAUGAACACUGAGGCCAUAUGAGGUACUGCACAGACCGUGUAAAUGGACAGGACAGCCAGAGAGGACUAGGGAGAAGAUGGCUAAACUGAAGCAACUUGGAGCUAGAAGAUAGGCUGCAUCUGCUCAGUUCACCUGCGCAGACCAAAAACAGUGCAC